rnacentral:rRNA from 1 species
GACGAACGCUGGCGGCGUGCUUAACACAUGCAAGUCGAACGAAGUGGCGCACGGGUGAGUAACGCGUAUUCAACCUGCCCUUCAGAGGGGGACAACAGUUGGAAACGACUGCUUAUACCGCAUACGGAAGAUCGGCAUUUCGUCUGAUUAGUGAGUUGGAGGGGCAACGGCCCACCAAGGCGAUGAGCAGUAGCCGGUCUGAGAGGGUGAGCGGCCACAUCGGGACUGAGACACGGCCAAGACUCCUACGGGAGGCAGCAGUGGGGAAUCUUCCGCAAUGGACGAAAGGCUGACGGAGCAACGCGGCGUGAGUGAUGACGGCCUUCGGGUGGUAAAGCUCUGUUAAUCGGGACGCGGUACCGGAAUAGAAAGCCACGGCUAACUACGUGCCAGCAGCCGCGGUAAUUC